AGUUUAAAGAAAAAAUUUUAAAUGAAUCCUGCCCAGUGAGUAUUUUAAAUGGCCGCAGUACCUUGACUGUGCUAAGGUAGCAUAAUCAAUUGGCUUUUAAUUAGAGUCUGGAAUGAAUGGAAUAAUGAAGUAAUACUGUCUUAACUAUAUUUUUAUAAAAUUAUUUAUAAGGUGAAAAUACCUUAUUUUAGAAAAAAGACGAGAAGACCCUUAGAGUUUUUAAUAAAUAAAUACUAGUAUCUAUAGUUUUUUGUUGGGGCGACAAAUAAACAUUUAAACUUUAUAUUUUUGUAAUAUUACGAUUUUUAUAAAAAAAAUAAAACUACCUUAGGGAUAACAGCAUUAUUUAUUUAUAAGAUUGUGACCUCGAUGUUGGACUAGGAACUUUAUGGCUAGCCGUCAAAUAAGAUUUGUUCUGUUCGAACAAUUAUAUCCU
rnacentral:rRNA from 1 species